rnacentral:lncRNA from 1 species
GAACUCAACGAAAAUAAUCUUGGAAUGUAACUUUUUCAGUGUUCCGAUAUCUGGUUGUCCGUCUAAUAUACGACUGGAAGUAACCUCGUCUAAAUGGAAAGAGUAGCUCAGCUGGGGUUUUCUCACUGUUUGUACAUACGAAUUGGCGGAGGAACUAUGGCGGCAAAGACGCCUGGGGCUUGCAGUGAGUGUCAUCAAACAACAGCUUACGAUUGAGUGGCCGAUAAGCUUUUCUUUUCUGCCUCCAUGAAG